rnacentral:rRNA from 1 species
GACGAACGCUGGCGGCGUGCCUAAUACAUGCCAGUAGAACGCUGAAGAGAGGAGCUUGCUCUUCUUGGAUGAGUUGCGAACGGGUGAGUAACGCGUAGGUAACCUGCCUUGUAGCGGGGGAUAACUAUUGGAAACGAUAGCUAAUACCGCAUAACAAUGGAUGACACAUGUCAUUUAUUUGAAAGGGGCAAUUGCUCCACUACAAGAUGGACCUGCGUUGUAUUAGCUAGUAGGUGAGGUAAUGGCUCACCUAGGCGACGAUACAUAGCCGACCUGAGAGGGUGAUCGGCCACACUGGGACUGAGACACGGCCCAGACUCCUACGGGAGGCAGCAGUAGGGAAUCUUCGGCAAUGGGGGCAACCCUGACCGAGCAACGCCGCGUGAGUGAAGAAGGUUUUCGGAUCGUAAAGUUCUGUUGUAAGUCAAGAACGGGUGUGAGAGUGGAAAGUUCACACUGUGACGGUAGCUUACCAGAAAGGGACGGCUAACUACGU